ACGGAGGGUGCAAGCGUUAUCCGGAUUCACUGGGUUUAAAGGGUGCGUAGGCGGGCAGGUAAGUCAGUGGUGAAAUCCCCGAGCUUAACUCGGGAACUGCCGUUGAUACUAUCUGUCUUGAAUACUGUGGAGGUAAGCGGAAUAUGUCAUGUAGCGGUGAAAUGCUUAGAUAUGACAUAGAACACCAAUUGCGAAGGCAGCUUGCUACACGGUCAUUGACGCUGAGGCACGAAAGCGUGGGGAUCAAACAGGAUUAGAUACCCUGGUAGUCCACGCCCUAAACUAUGGAUACUCGACAUAUGCGAUACACUGUAUGUGUCUGAGCGAAAGCAUUAAGUAUCCCACCUGGGAAGUACGUUCGCAAGAAUG
rnacentral:rRNA from 1 species